rnacentral:lncRNA from 1 species
GAAAGAUUGUUUUUGUGACAUCCCAGUCGAUGUGAAGAGUUCAUAAUAUAAUAUUGUUCAGUAAUCGUUUUAUUAGGAAUUAUGACUGGCGAUGGAGUCCAGCAAUAAAACUUGGAUUUGUGCGGUUGCCAUUUGUGUUAAUUUAUACAUUAAUGUAUUAUCAUGCUUCGAGCUACGUCCAGCUUAUCUAUCCAUGAUGAUGUCAACGAAUAAAAAAUUGCCAUUUUAUAAUUCCGGGGAUUCAUUGUGUAUCAGUGUGAUUCAAUCAUCAACUCCUGAACAUUUACAUAACCAACAAAACACUUAUCAUUUCAUAAAAUUUAUUGAAAAAAACAAUUCAAAAAAAAAUUAUAUAUAUAAUAUUCCAAUCAGUUAAAUCUAUGUAUAAAUAUUGAAAGCCUUGUAUGAAACGGGUUAAUAAAAU